GGAUGGGCCUGCGUCUGAUUAGCUAGUUGGUAGUGUAACGGACUACCAAGGCGAUGAUCAGUAGCCGGUCUGAGAGGAUGAACGGCCACAUUGGGACUGAGACACGGCCCAAACUCCUACGGGAGGCAGCAGUGGGGAAUCUUCCGCAAUGGACGAAAGUCUGACGGAGCAACGCCGCGUGAGUGAUGAAGGAUUUCGGUCUGUAAAGCUCUGUUGUUUAUGACGAACGUGCAGUGUGUGAACAAUGCAUUGCAAUGACGGUAGUAAACGAGGAAGCCACGGCUAACUACGUGCCAGCAGCCGCGGUAAUACGUAGGUGGCGAGCGUUGUCCGGAAUUAUUGGGCGUAAAGAGCAUGUAGGCGGCUUAAUAAGUCGAGCGUGAAAAUGCGGGGCUCAACCCCGUAUGGCGCUGGAAACUGUUAGGCUUGAGUGCAGGAGAGGAAAGGGGAAUUCCCAGUGUAGCGGUGAAAUGCGUAGAUAUUGGGAGGAACACCAGUGGCGAAGGCGCCUUUCUGGACUGUGUCUGACGCUG
rnacentral:rRNA from 1 species